rnacentral:lncRNA from 1 species
GGCCCAGCGAGCUAUGCAUUCAUGCCUGCGUGUUCGGUGCUAGUACGGGACGUGCACCUACACGCACGUCCCGUUCGCGUAAGGCGCGAGGCAUGCAGUCUGCGCACAACACACGCGUCACAUCGCACACAGACAGGCACGCAGCUCCAAGCGUGACAUCGCUCAUAAACAGGCGCGUGGCUUAGCACGCAAAGGCCCUGGGCCAACGCACGCGGCAAACACUGCCUGCACGCGCAACAGGCUUGGGUAGUGUUUGUUGCCCCUUGGGCGGUGCGCUCGUCCCUCAUCCGAUGUGUUUUCAUUUUUUAUAACAUUGUCGCAUUGUUGUUGUCGUGUUGGCCAUCCAUCACUCACGACCAUCAAUUGUCACAUUACAUCAAGUCACUUUUUCCUUCCCUCU